AUGAACGCUAGCUACAGGCUUAACACAUGCAAGUCGAGGGGCAGCAUCAUCAAAGCUUGCUUUGAUGGAUGGCGACCGGCGCACGGGUGAGUAACACGUAUCCAACCUGCCGACAACACUGGGAUAGCCUUUCGAAAGAAAGAUUAAUACCGGAUGGCAUAGUUUUCCCGCAUGGGAUAAUUAUUAAAGAAUUUCGGUUGUCGAUGGGGAUGCGUUCCAUUAGGCAGUUGGCGGGGUAACGGCCCACCAAACCAACGAUGGAUAGGGGUUCUGAGAGGAAGGUCCCCCACAUUGGAACUGAGACACGGUCCAAACUCCUACGGGAGGCAGCAGUGAGGAAUAUUGGUCAAUGGACGAGAGUCUGAACCAGCCAAGUAGCGUGAAGGAUGACUGCCCUAUGGGUUGUAAACUUCUUUUAUACGGGAAUAAAGUUAGCCACGUGUGGCUUUUUGUAUGUACCGUAUGAAUAAGGAUCGGCUAACUCCGUGCCAGCAGCCGCGGUAAUACGGAGGAUCCGAGCGUUAUCCGGAUUUAUUGGGUUUAAAGGGAGCGUAGGCGGGUUGUUAAGUCAGUUGUGAAAGUUUGCGGCUCAACCGUAAAAUUGCAGUUGAUACUGGCGACCUUGAGUGCAACAGAGGUAGGCGGAAUUCGUGGUGUAGCGGUGAAAUGCUUAGAUAUCACGAAGAACUCCGAUUGCGAAGGCAGCUUACUGGAUUGUAACUGACGCUGAUGCUCGAAAGUGUGGGUAUCAAACAGGAUUAGAUACCCUGGUAGUCCACACAGUAAACGAUGAAUACUCGCUGUUGGCGAUAUACGGUCAGCGGCCAAGCGAAAGCAUUAAGUAUUCCACCUGGGGAGUACGCCGGCAACGGUGAAACUCAAAGGAAUUGACGGGGGCCCGCACAAGCGGAGGAACAUGUGGUUUAAUUCGAUGAUACGCGAGGAACCUUACCCGGGCUUAAAUUGCAACUGACGGAACCGGAAACGGUUCUUUCUUCGGACAGUUGUGAAGGUGCUGCAUGGUUGUCGUCAGCUCGUGCCGUGAGGUGUCGGCUUAAGUGCCAUAACGAGCGCAACCCUUAUCGAUAGUUACUAGCAGGUCAUGCUGAGGACUCUAUCGAGACUGCCGUCGUAAGAUGUGAGGAAGGUGGGGAUGACGUCAAAUCAGCACGGCCCUUACGUCCGGGGCUACACACGUGUUACAAUGGGGGGUACAGAAGGCAGCUACACGGCGACGUGGUGCUAAUCCCGAAAGCCUCUCUCAGUUCGGAUUGGAGUCUGCAACCCGACUCCAUGAAGCUGGAUUCGCUAGUAAUCGCGCAUCAGCCACGGCGCGGUGAAUACGUUCCCGGGCCUUGUACACACCGCCCGUCAAGCCAUGAAAGCCGGGGGUACCUGAAGUACGUAACCGGGAGGAGCGUCCUAGGGUAAAACUGGUGAUUGGGGCU
rnacentral:rRNA from 1 species